GGGGAAUAUUGCACAAUGGGCGAAAGCCUGAUGCAGCGACGCCGCGUGAGGGAUGAAGGCCUUCGGGUUGUAAACCUCUUUCAGCAGGGAAGAAGCGCAAGUGACGGUACCUGCAGAAGAAGCACCGGCUAACUACGUGCCAGCAGCCGCGGUAAUACGUAGGGUGCAAGCGUUGUCCGGAAUUAUUGGGCGUAAAGAGCUCGUAGGCGGUUUGUCGCGUCUGCUGUGAAAACUCGGGGCUCAACCCCGGGCCUGCAGUGGGUACGGGCAGACUAGAGUGCGGUAGGGGAGACUGGAAUUCCUGGUGUAGCGGUGAAAUGCGCAGAUAUCAGGAGGAACACCGGUGGCGAAGGCGGGUCUCUGGGCCGUAACUGACGCUGAGGAGCGAAAGCAUGGGGAGCGAAC
rnacentral:rRNA from 1 species